ACGCUCGACACCUACGGUAGGCAGCAGUCGGGAAUAUUGCGCAAUGGAGGAAACUCUGACGCAGUGACGCCGCGUAUGGGAAGAAGGUUUUCGGAUUGUAAACCAUUUUAGACAAGGAAGAAACAAGACAGUACUUGUAGAAUAAGCUCCGGCUAACUACGUGCCAGCAGCCGCGGUAAUCUGAGGCGGGCUGGCGAAGGC
rnacentral:rRNA from 1 species